rnacentral:rRNA from 1 species
AGCGGCAGACGGGUGAGUAACACGUGGGAACGUGCCUUCUGGUUCGGAAUAACUCAGGGAAACUUGAGCUAAUACCGGAUAAGCCCUUCGGGGGAAAGAUUUAUCGCCGGAAGAUCGGCCCGCGUCAGAUUAGCUAGUUGGUGAGGUAAUGGCUCACCAAGGCUACGAUCUGUAGCUGGUCUGAGAGGAUGAUCAGCCACACUGGGACUGAGACACGGCCCAGACUCCUACGGGAGGCAGCAGUGGGGAAUAUUGGACAAUGGGCGCAAGCCUGAUCCAGCCAUGCCGCGUGAGUGAUGAAGGCCUUAGGGUUGUAAAGCUCUUUCGUGGGGGAAGAUAAUGACUGUACCCCAAGAAGAAGCCCCGGCUAACUCCGUGCCAGCAGCCGCGGUAAUACGGAGGGGACUAGCGUUGUUCGGAAUUACUGGGCGUAAAGCGCACGUAGGCGGGCUGUUAAGUCGGGGGUGAAAUCCCGGGGCUCAACCCCGGAACUGCCUCCGAUACUGGCGGUCUUGAGUCCGAGAGAGGUGGGUGGAAUUCCGAGUGUAGAGGUGAAAUUCGUAGAUAUUCGGAGGAACACCGGUGGCGAAGGCGGCCCACUGGCUCGGUACUGACGCUGAGGUGCGAAAGCGCGGGGAGCAAACAGGAUUAGAUACCCUGGUAGUCCGCGCCGUAAACGAUGAAUGCCAGUCGUU